AGCAGCCGCGGUAAUUCCAGCUCCAAUAGCGUAUAUUAAAGUUGUUGCAGUUAAAAAGCUCGUAGUUGAAUUUCGGGAUUGACGUGAUGGUCGUGCCUUAAGGGGUAUGAACUGUCGCAGUUGAUUUCUCACCUUCUGGAGAAGCAUGAUGUCCUUAAUUGGGUGUCAUGUGGAACCAGGACCUUUACCUUGAAAAAAUUGAGUGUUUAAAGCAGGCAUUUUGCUCGAAUACAUUAGCAUGGAAUAAUAGAAUAGGACGGCAUGGUUCUAUCUUGUUGGUUUCUAGGAUCACCGUAAUGAUUAAUAGGGAUAGUUGGGGGCAUUAGUAUUCAAUUGUCAGAGGUGAAAUUCUUGGAUUUAUUGAAGACUAACUACUGCGAAAGCAUUUGCCAAGGAUGUUUUCAUUAAUCAAGAACGAAAGUUAGGGA
rnacentral:rRNA from 1 species